rnacentral:lncRNA from 1 species
UUUCUUCAACUUUUUUAUGUUAUUUGAUUCUUUUAAUUGGCAAAUACCACAUAAGUAAAAUUCUGUUUCUGCUAUGAUCUUUACUGUGUUUAUAUUGUAAAGUGAGCUAGUGCACUUUAUGCAGCGUGUUAUUGUUGUUAUCGUCUAAUAAUUUGGAUUGGCAGUAGAAGUUGAUAUUAAACUCUUUUAACGAUUUGCCUGUCCAAUUUGAUUGAGCGGUAAUACAUUUUUGUAACCUGAAAAUAAUUCAUGUAAAGAAUCCUGACUACUAAGUGGAUUUCGAGCUAUUGCUCAUUGUACGAGGGUGAUUAAACGAUUAGUAGUGUUUUCUGCUUCACUGAAAAACCCUUAUAUCAUCUGAAAAAGGGGAGGAAAAAAGAUAAAAAACACAAGUUCCAGCAAUUUUAUGGAUUCUUGAACUGACGAUACUGAUUCAUCUAAUUGAUGCUCUUUGUUUCUUUGUAGGUGGAGUACCUUCCCAUCUCGUCAAUUGAGAAAUCCAGGCAAAUAAUGGAAGAAUUUUUAGAGAUAUGGCAAGAAGCCCUGUCAAAGAGAACAUUGCCGGGUCGCUUCAUGCAUAUGGAACCUAAUUUUACUGAGUAUGGCCUCUCAGAUCACUAUAGUUCACAGCACACGGCUGUUCAGUAUGCUAAAAUAUUUAAUUCAACUAAUCUUAUUACGCCACGUCAAUUUAUACAAAAUAAAUUUAUACAAAAAUUUAUAACUAAUCUUAUCAUUACUCUUUUUUAAAAUAAAGCCUAGCCUAAAUUAUCCCUUUACGCUCUCGGUUCGCACCGCUGGCGCUGUCCGACCAUCACUGGCAGUCACGCAAUCGCCGGCGCCACGACGACUCGUCGCCGAAUCCGCGACGUUUCAGUUCCGCCUUCGCGGCACCGUCAGCUAAACCGUCUCUUCGCCGUGUCUUGCUGCUGCCAGGAAGCUAUAGCGGUUCUGUUCAGUGUUAAGGUUAGGGUUUGAAAUUGGAAGUUGAAUGGAAAUAUUAAUUAAAUUAAUUUGUCAAUGUCUUUGCAUUUUGUAAUGGUAAUUAUGAUUUUGGAAAUAAUUAAUAAUUUCAUAUUAAUUUUUGAAUAUUGGUUUUGAUCUUUCAAAUUUCACCUGCUCUUAUGUAGCGGCAUUUGCAGCUCACCACGGUCGCAGUGUCACACAGCCACCACUAAAAGGAUGACCAUUAAAUGGUAAUGAGACUAUUUUUUUUAGUUUUUGAUUUCGCAAUUUUAUUUUGGCAACAAAAGGACAUAAAUUGUUGAUUAAAUAGAAAUGUAAAUGUUUUGUUUACGUUCUGUUUUUAGGGUUCUGCAUUGGCAACCAAAUGUGGGAACGAGUGUAAACAGUCAAAUCCUAAAUGAAGUCUCACAGUGUGUUGAGAGCAUUAACGGUGUCAAAGAAGGACGGUGGAAAGCUACUUUGACAUUCUACAAACCGAUGCUCCGAGACCAGUCACUAGCGUCGGAGUUCCCACGGGAUUUUCUAGGGAUAAUGGUUCCAGAGUGCCCUAAUAAGUAUUUUUUUGUAAUACGGGCUCAGCGGAUUGUUCUCGAAGCAGAUUCCACCAUUCAGACCAUUAUGGAGAAGUUGCAGUCUUACAAAAUGAGAGUCGCCCUUAAUUUUGAGGUUUCAUUAAUAUUCUUUGGAAAAAAGAAAAAAAUUAUAAGUUUAAUCAUUAGAAAGUUUGUUUUGAACUAGAAUGGUGGUUGCUUUAUGCAGGGUUUUCAAUACCAACUGGGCGACUUCCAAUUGAGAGUGGGCAAAGUUGUGCCGACUCAUUCUGAAAAUUUGAGAGGAAUAGUCAUGGAGGUAUUUUACUUUCUUCAACUUUUUUAUGUUAUUUGAUUCUUUUAAUUGGCAAAUACCACAUAAGUAAAAUUCUGUUUCUGCUAUGAUCUUUACUGUGUUUAUAUUGUAAAGUGAGCUAGUGCACUUUAUGCAGCGUGUUAUUGUUGUUAUCGUCUAAUAAUUUGGAUUGGCAGUAGAAGUUGAUAUUAAACUCUUUUAACGAUUUGCCUGUCCAAUUUGAUUGAGCGGUAAUACAUUUUUGUAACCUGAAAAUAAUUCAUGUAAAGAAUCCUGACUACUAAGUGGAUUUCGAGCUAUUGCUCAUUGUACGAGGGUGAUUAAACGAUUAGUAGUGUUUUCUGCUUCACUGAAAAACCCUUAUAUCAUCUGAAAAAGGGGAGGAAAAAAGAUAAAAAACACAAGUUCCAGCAAUUUUAUGGAUUCUUGAACUGACGAUACUGAUUCAUCUAAUUGAUGCUCUUUGUUUCUUUGUAGGUGGAGUACCUUCCCAUCUCGUCAAUUGAGAAAUCCAGGCAAAUAAUGGAAGAAUUUUUAGAGAUAUGGCAAGAAGCCCUGUCAAAGAGAACAUUGCCGGGUCGCUUCAUGCAUAUGGAACCUAAUUUUACUGAGUAUGGCCUCUCAGAUCACUAUAGUUCACAGCACACGGCUGUUCAGUAUGCUAAUGUAAUGGCUCAACUAAUUGCAUCUGUGCAAAGUGUGCAAUCUAUGAGAAACUAGCAAGUGAAGAAGAGUAUUGGUAAUUGUGUAUUGGAUGGAUGAAUGGGGUGUUACAAGGGUUUUGAUAACUUCAUAUACUAAUAUUAGAUUGG